rnacentral:rRNA from 1 species
AACGAACGCUGGCGGCAGGCCUCAAACAUGCAAGUCUAGGGGGUGUAGCAAUACAUCACCGGCGGACGGGUGCGUAACACGUGGGAAUAUACCUUUUGGUUCGGAACAACGCAGGGAAACUUGCGCUAAUACCGAAUGUGCCCCUUACGGGGAAAGAUUUAUCGCCUUUAGAGCGGCCCGCGUCUGAUUAGCUAGUUGGUGAGGUAAAGGCUCACCAAGGCUACGAUCAGUAGCUGGUCUGAGAGGAUGACCAGCCACAUUGGGACUGAGACACGG